rnacentral:rRNA from 1 species
GAUCAUGGCUCAGGAUGAACGCUGGCGGCGUGCUUAACACAUGCAAGUCGAACGAAGCAAUUUAUCUAGAUCCCUUCGGGGGUGACGGAUUUAUUGACUGAGUGGCGGACGGGUGAGUAACGCGUGGGUAACCUGCCUUAUACAGGGGGAUAACAGUUAGAAAUGACUGCUAAUACCGCAUAACCCGCUAGUGUCGCAUGACACAGACGGAAAAGAUUUAUCGGUAUAAGAUGGACCCGCGUCUGAUUAGCUGGUUGGUGAGGUAACGGCUCACCAAGGCGACGAUCAGUAGCCGGCUUGAGAGAGUGAACGGCCACAUUGGGACUGAGACACGGCCCAAACUCCUACGGGAGGCAGCAGUGGGGAAUAUUGCACAAUGGGGGAAACCCUGAUGCAGCGACGCCGCGUGAGUGAAGAAGUAUUUCGGUAUGUAAAGCUCUAUCAGCAGGGAGGAAAAUGACGGUACCUGACUAAGAAGCCCCGGCUAACUACGUG